rnacentral:rRNA from 1 species
AUUGAACGCUGGCGGCAUGCCUUACACAUGCAAGUCGAACGGUAACGCGGGGGCAACCCUGGCGACGAGUGGCGAACGGGUGAGUAAUACAUCGGAACAUAUCCAGUAGCGGGGGAUAACCAAUCGAAAGAUGGACUAAUACCGCAUACGAUCUACGGAUGAAAGCAGGGGACCGCAAGGCCUUGCACUAUUGGAGUGGCUGAUGUCGGAUUAGCUAGUUGGUGGGGUAAAAGCCUACCAAGGCGACGAUCCGUAGCUGGUCUGAGAGGACGAUCAGCCACACUGGAACUGAGGCACGGUCCAGACUCCUACGGGAGGCAGCAGUGGGGAAUUUUGGACAAUGGGCGCAAGCCUGAUCCAGCCAUGCCGCGUGAGUGAAGAAGGCCUUCGGGUUGUAAAGCUCUUUCGGUGAAGACGAAACGGUUAGCGCUAAUAACGCUGACUAAUGACAGUACUCACAGAAGAAGCACCGGCUAACUACGUGCCAGCAGCCGCCGUAA